AAACCGACACAGGUGGUCAGGAUGAGAAAUCUAAGGCGGACAGGCUAACUCUCGUUAAGGAACUCUGCAAAAUAACCUCGUAACUUCGGGAGAAGAGGAGCCCUUGAGGGUCAGUAUCCACGCGAUACAAAGCGCUCGAGGGUCGCAGUGAAGAGGCUCAAGCAACUGUUUAACAAAAACACAGGUCUAUGCUAAGCUGGAAGGCGAUGUAUAUGGGCUGACACCUGCCCAGUGCUGGAAGGUUAAGAGGAGGAGUGAGAGCUCCGAAUUGAAGCCCCAGUGAACGGCGGCCGUAACUAUAACGGUCCUAAGGUAGCGAAAUUCCUUGUCGGGUAAGUUCCGACCUGCACGAAUGGUGUAAUGAUUUGAGCGCUGUCUUGACGGGAGGCCUGGUGAAAUUGUAUUACCGGUGAAGAUACCGGUUACCUACAGUAGGACGGAAAGACCCCAUGGAGCUUUACUGUAGCUUGGUAUUGGGUUUUGGCAUUGCAUGUAUAGGAUAGUUGGGAGACUGUGAUGAUAUGGCGCUAGCUGUAUCGGAGUCAUCGGUGGAAUACCAACCAUUCAAUGCUGAAAUUCUAAUCUGUGGUUUGUAGCCACGGAGACAGUGCUAGGUGGGCAGUUUGACUGGGGCGGUCGCCUCCGAAAGAGUAACGGAGGCGUUCAAAGGUUCUCUCAGGUUGGAUGGAAAUCAACCAUAGAGUGCAAUGGCAUAAGAGAGCUUGACUGCAAGACUGACGGGUCGAGCAGAUGCGAAAGCAGGACAUAGUGAUCCGGCGAUUCCGAAUGGAAGGGUCGUCGCUCAACGGAUAAAAGCUACCCUGGGGAUAACAGGCUGAUCCUACCCGAGAGUCCAUAUCGACGGUAGGGUUUGGCACCUCGAUGUCGGCUCAUCGCAUCCUGGGGCUGGAGAAGGUCCCAAGGGUUGGGCUGUUCGCCCAUUAAAGCGGUACGUGAGCUGGGUUCAGAACGUCGUGAGACAGUUCGGUCCCUAUCCACUGUAGGCGUUAGAAUAUUGAGAAGACCUGUCCUUAGUACGAGAGGACCGGGAUGGACAAACCUCUGAUGUACCAGUUGUCACGCCAGUGGCACAGCUGGGUAGUCACGUUUGGAAUAGAUAACCGCUGAAAGCAUCUAAGCGGGAAACUAACUUCAAGAUAAGUAUUCUUUAAGAUACCUUCGAGCCUAGGAGGUUGAUAGGUUGGGGGUGUAAGUGCAGCAAUGCAUUUAGCUGACCAAUACUAAUUAUCGAAGUUUUAAUCUA
rnacentral:rRNA from 1 species